rnacentral:misc_RNA from 1 species
UUCAAAUAUCGUUGCUUGAAUAGCUCUUUUCGCAGAUUGACUGUGACAUAGUGAUUCUCUUGAGCACGUCAAGGAUUCAAGUCACUAUGCACUAUACAUAUUAUUGUUCAAUACUCCUCAGCUUUGCCAAUUUAAUUUGAAGCAAGAAAGUAUGUACUAUGCAUAUUAUUGCUGAUUGUGCAAAUUUAUAUAGAAGUUUCCUCUGAGCUUAUCAUAAUUUUUAACAGCAUCACAUCAUCGAUUAUG